AUGUCAUCCAUGAUAUAUGAGCUUGUGCAUUUUCUUAGCAAAUUUGUUGUGAUCUUUCUUGAUGGCAUAUUCAUACAUCAUGAUCAUAUUGCCUACCUGUCUCACUAUGACAUCAUUUUGCACUGUGGUUGCAUUGAUCAUAUUCACAACACAUUUGUGUGCACAAUGAAUUCUUUUGCUCCCAUGAACUCUUUGCAUAUCACUCUAUAUCAUCUUGAUAAGCUUCAUGUACUUUGUCACGAACAACCUUGCCGCACGAACUCAUUCUUACAUCUUGGACACUUUGUGUGCGCUAACCAUUGUAUUUCCAAGUGUACUUUGUGUUUGUUCAUUUUGCAUGCACCACUUACCGGAGACACCUUGGAGUACUUGGAUUGCACAAUGCCUUCCUCUAUGUCCAACUACAAGUCCGUCAACGACAACCGUUUCCAUGGUGAUGAGGAUCACGAUCCGAGGUCGGAUCUUUCCCAAGGGGCGGAGAUGAUGCGGAGCAUCCUAUGA
rnacentral:rRNA from 1 species